ACACCCUCAAGCUUUGCUUGGUGUUGGGCGUCUGUCUACGGACUCGCCUCAAAGGCAUUGGCAGCGGUCCUGUCGGGGCCUCCUAAUCGCGCAGCACUGUUCGCGCUUCUUGGAGCCUGGUACGGGAUUCAGCAUCCAUCAAGCCCUCUUUA
rnacentral:misc_RNA from 1 species